rnacentral:tRNA from 9 species
CGGGAUGUGGCGCAGCUUGGUAGCGCACCUGACUGGGGGUCAGGGGGUCGCAGGUUCAAAUCCUGUCAUCCCGAC